AUUGAACGCUGGCGGCAUGCUUUAUACAUGCAAGUCGUGCGGCAGCGCGGGGGCAACUCUGGCGGCGAGCGGCGAACGGGUGAGUAAUACAUAGGAACGUAUCCUGAAAUGGGGGAUAGCUCGGCGAAAGCCGGAUUAAUACCGCAUACGCUCCACGGAGGAAAGCAGGGGAUCGCAAGACCUUGCGUUUCUGGAGCGGCCUAUGUCUGAUUAGCUAGNGGCGGGGUAAUAGCCCACCAAGGCGACGAUCAGUAGCUGGUCUGAGAGGAUGAUCAGCCACACUGGGACUGAGACACGGCCCAGACUCCUACGGGAGGCAGCAGUAGGGAAUUUUGGACAAUGGGGGCAACCCUGAUCCAGCCAUGCCGCGUGAGUGAAG
rnacentral:rRNA from 1 species